UCUGGGCGUAAGCGUGCGCUAGGCGGUUUCGUAAGACAGAGGUGAAUCCCCGGGCUCACCUGGGAACUGCCUUUGUGACUGCGAGGCUAGAGUACGGCAGAGGGGGGUGGAAUUCCACGUGUAGCAGUGAAAUGCGUAGAGAUGUGGAGGAACACCGAUGGCGAAGGCAGCCCCCUGGGCCGAUACUGACGCUCAUGCACGAAAGCGUGGGGAGCAAACAGGAUUAGAUACCCUGGUAGUCCACGCCCUAAACGAUGUCAACUAGGUGUUGGGUGGGUAAAACCAUUUAGUACCGCAUCUAACGCGUGAAUUUGACCCCCUGGGGAGUACGGCCGCAAGGUUA
rnacentral:rRNA from 1 species